rnacentral:sRNA from 1 species
GCAAAUAUUCAUAAGAACGAGUCUAAUUCGAUUGGGAGUAGUUUUCUUAAUGAAAGCAUUCAGAAGCUGCCAUUCCAUGAAAAUGAUAAUUCAUCUGAUACAGUGAGCAAUAUUGACAAUGAAUCACAAGAUUUGAACACUGGUGAGGGAGAUCAACCUAACUGGAGGCAGAUGUUUAUGAGUGGAUUAGAUGACAGAGAAAAAAUUUUGCUGGAGGAGUACACAUCAGUCUUAAUGAACUAUAAGGAGGUCAGGGCUAAGCUCAAUGAUGUGGAAAAGAGAAGCCGAGACAGCAUUUUUGAGUUGACACUUCAGCUUAGGGAGAUGA